GAGCAACCUGCCCUUAGCUUUGGGAUAACCCUCGGAAACGGGGGCUAAUACCGGAUGUUCACUGCUGGACGCAUGUUUGGUGGUGGAAAGUUUUUCGGCUAGGGAUGGGCUCGCGGCCUAUCAGCUUGUUGGUGGGGUGAUGGCCUACCAAGGCGACGACGGGUAGCCGGCCUGAGAGGGCGACCGGCCACACUGGGACUGAGACACGGCCCAGACUCCUACGGGAGGCAGCAGUGGGGAAUAUUGCACAAUGGGCGAAAGCCUGAUGCAGCGACGCCGCGUGAGGGAAGACGGCCUUCGGGUUGUAAACCUCUUUCAGAUCCGACGAAGCGUAAGUGACGGUAGGGUCAGAAGAAGCGCCGGCCAACUACGUGCCAGCAGCCGCGGUAAGACGUAGGGCGCAAGCGUUGUCCGGAUUUAUUGGGCGUAAAGAGCUCGUAGGCGGCUUGUUGCGUCGACUGUGAAAACCCACGGCUCAACUGUGUGGUCUGCAGUCGAUACGGGCAGGCUAGAGUUCGGUAGGGGAGACUGGAAUUCCUGGUGUAGCGGUGAAAUGCGCAGAUAUCAGGAGGAACACCGGUGGC
rnacentral:rRNA from 1 species